GAGUGGGAGGGUUUCUGGGUCGGAAGGUGUGACUCCUCCUAGCGGGGAGUUGGAGAGGUUUGUAGCUGUAAGCACGUGUGAGAGAGAGCAGGCCGUGCCAGAGAUCGAAAGCUGAGAAACCUGGCUGGGAUUUUAUAUACCAGUUAACCUGUCGGGCUGCAGUAAAUGACCUUGACAUCUCCGUAAAGACUUUCUGAACCGCCAACUCAGUUCUUUUUUCUGCUUCCUUUUCCACUUCAGACACCAGUCCCUCAGGUUUACCUGGCCCAGCCUCAGGGUCAAGGGAGUUGUCUCUGGUCAUAUCGUGGCUCCCCCUUUGAUAGGACUGCAGAGGAGAGGGAGCAUCCUGUAUCUCAGAAGAGAGAAUGGGCAUUCUUUAGCCAGAAGGAGCGGAGACCAUUGCCACCUUCCCACUGCAGGGAAAUAGAACAUCCUGUCCAGCAUCUUAGUAGAAACAAAGUAUUGUCUGGGGAAGACGGGACCAGGGCAUCACCACCAUGAGCCACGUCUGGUCCAUGAACUGUCAUCUCUCCACGCCCCUCCUUCUUCUAGAUGGUCUCAAGGGAUGGUGUGCUGUUUUCUCAGGCUUUUGCUUUUCUAGAAAUCUGACUAAUCUUAGAAGCAGUCAGGAAUUAUAUGUAAGAAAGAAACUCCCCCUUUCGACAUGCCCCUGACACAGCUUGCUUGAAAGAAGGUACUCCUGAGCUGCUUUAAUGGGCAGUAGAACCUGUGAAAUUCAGCAUGCCUGGAAGCUAUGUGCUCAGAUUCCCACUAUGCACUAAGAAGCUCUGUCUGUUGUGUUUUGAAAUUGGGUAUUUGGUCUUUAAAAU
ensembl:lncRNA